GCCUGGGUGGCUCAGUCAGUUGAGCAUCUGACUUUGGCUCAGGUCAUGAUCUCACAGUUUGUGAGUUUGAGCCCCACAUUGGGCU
rnacentral:tRNA from 1 species